UGUAAGAGCUGAAAACGCGAAGAUGGCUGACAUUUGUCCGGGUGUUUCUGUAAUAUACUUUCGUGAUAUAAUCGUGGUGUUUACGGAACUUUCAGUUAUGUUUAUGUAUGAAAUGUGAGCUGAUGGCUAGGCUAUAUAACCCACCUGAACAAUUUCAGUGAUUUUGAGGCAGAAAAUGAAUGUGCCCAAAUUUUUAAUCGCCGGUUCAUGUAUAGUUCCUUCGGUGAUGCACAGAUCCGGUGCUCAUAGAACUCUCAGUGGUUGCCCUAUUACGGUGCUUUUAAGUGAAAUAUGUGAGUUUGACUAGUAUAUAUCUAGGCAGAGAAAGUUCACAGUGGGUUUUGAGAGCAAACGAAACUUCGUUUAUGAAGGGUGACUUGGUAGCUAUAACAGCCUUCACUAAGUGCCUCGAGUUACAGGAAGUCAUGUAGAAUCCCCCAGUUUUACAAGAUGAGGUGACCUAAAGUCAUGUAGAAUCCCCCCCAAGCCAUAAACUCUGGGAAUAUGAGAAACUUCCAGAUGCUCUAGCAGACCAUCCAGGAUGGGAUGAAAAUUCAAGGCCCGUGGAUUGAUUUUGGACUGCAUUUGCCAAACCCAUAUGGUAGAUAUGGCAUGCAGUAUGAAGAUAGGGAGAAGAAUUUUCAUCAGUAUCCCAAACAUCAAAUCACAAGAACAUGGAGAUUAAGAACACAGCUAGAUUUUCGUGUCAUCGAUUUCCAGCAUGGAUAUGGCAAAAUUUUUUCUUACUUGUAAAUAUGAAGAACACAAGCAAUUUUAUUCCCAUCAAGAAUGAAAAAUACAUUGUACAUCGUGUUUACCUCUUAGUAACAUUUUAUUUUGGUUUUCAUGUAAUAAGUUGUAUUUCAUAAUUUUUUGUUUAGGGUAUCGCAAGUAAUUUUAGAUAUGUGUAAUGUGAUCUAGAAGACUGCAUUGAUCUGAUUGUAAUAUUUUGCUAAUGUUUGAAUGCCCUAUGAGAGCAGAUGAUUCUGGAACUAGUUAGACAAUAGCUAGUGAUAGGUGAGGCUUUGCUGAUUUUGAGUGAGUCCUGUAUUUCACACACCUACAUACUUUCCUGCUAGUAAUAUGCAUUGAGAAUGUCAUUCUGACUGUACCAUGUAUUUGUCUGGUGGGGUAUGUCUCAAGUUGCCCUUUUAUUCUGAAGUUUAUGCCACCAAUGUCAAAAUGCAGAAGUCCUUUGGUUAAUUUCAUUGGUAUCUACAUGUGCAGCUGAAUAAUGACUCAGCUCAGAUAAGGUUAAUCACUUAAUUUAGAUUUGAGUAUAGUGCCUCUCCAAAACAGGUCCCUCUGACCAAGUCCUUUAGAUAUGCAACAGUUCCUUCUACCAUUCUCAUCGUAUAUGAUUAGAUAUAUCCUUGACUUGGCCCAGAUGAAAUUGUUAGGAAUCAGGUGUGCUGUUUAGUAGUGUAUGAGUGUAUCAGGGUGGGAUGGGGUGUAGCAGUGAGGCAGAUAAAUAAGUUCUCUGAUUCUAGGAGAAUAUCUUAGCAUGUCCAUUAUAAUAGGUUCUGUGUCUAGUCACCUUAAUAACCGACCCCUUACUAUUUCCCUUCUAAUCCUUUCCGACAAGUACUGUUGGACACGCUUUUUAUUUUUUUUGCUGUUGUGUUUUGUUUGUUAUGCAAAUCUUUCAUAAGGCCCUUAAAGACAUUAAGUCAACCUGAAGUUCAUGGCUUCCUACUCUCAGGCAUAAAUCUGUCUCUGUUGGUUUUCCUUCCACACACAUUGUGGCUUUCCUUGAGGUUCUGUUUUUGCACCCACUUUUCCUCCUCUUCAUCGGUCACACUUACACCAUCCUGUCUACCUCUUCCUUGCCAAUGAAUUUGCCUCUGUGAUUGUCUCCUUUUACUGUAUAGUCCAUGUCUUGCCGUUUGCAUUCAGUCUAAUUCAUCUUUCUUCAUUUACUGUCUGUGGCCAUAGGAACAUAGAUAAACGCAGACCACAGUCUAAUUCCUAUUUCUUCAUUUACUGCCUGUGGCCAUAGGGACAUAUAUAAAUGCAGAUCCCAGUCGUUACUGUACAGUACUUACAAAGUUGAAGGUUCCAAGACACUUAUGGCAUCUUUCUUUGUCAGGUCUCAUCCACUUCUUGAUUCAUUGAUUUAUUCUUUCAUCGUGUUGAUUCUGUUUUAAAGAAAGGUAAGAUGUCCUUUUAUUGCAGAUCCAUAUUUUUCCUUUCAUUUCUACCGUUGUUCCUCCUUCACUUCUCCACCUCUUCAUGUGGUUCCACUCUCUCCUCCUUUAUUGGAGAUCUUUGCAUAACAGAUGCUUCUUUCCUGCCUCAGUUAAUACAAAUGUUUUUGUGUUCCAAGACCAGUUCUUGGUGCUUUAGUUAUGUAUGAGGGGAGCCCACACUGUCUUCUGUGGUCUUGAGUACUUCUUUCUCUUGUACACAGUUGUUCCUGCCCAGCCGUAUGACUCAGCCAUUGCAUAUACUUGCCUGUCCCAGAGUGUGCUUGACUGCCCUAGAGUAUUUUACUUUCUUAGUGUACUCAACUGCUCCCAUGUUCCCAAUUGACCUUGCAAACCUGGGUGCCCCUGGGUACUCUGUUUUGGCAUAAUCAGCUGCUGAAUGUACAUGAAGGAUAGUGUGUAUUCAACUGCUCCAUUCUAUUUGACAGCUUCAUUGUAUAUUAUUGUUUCAGUAAUUCGUGGAUAAUUGGUGCUGCACAGUCUUGAAAUUUCAGUAAAUUAAAGAUAAUUACAGUAUAUAAAGUAUUGUAUUCUAUACUUAUAGAAAGUGAGAAAUUUGUAUUUUGGCCAUAUUUUAACUUGAAGUUACAGUAAUUAGAGAUGGUAUUAUAAACCCAAGGAAGUGUUGGACAUGAGAGGGAAGUGUCAUAGUAGAAAAAAACAAUUUUUCUUGUGCAACAUACAAGGCUUAGACGUAAUGGGUUUGAUUUUUUGAAAAUUAAUUUAUCCAUUGUAUGAUAAUGUUUGAAAGCUGUUAAAUGUUUAAAAAAUUGCCUUCUGUAACUUAGCCUCCAACAAAGAAUGUGUUAAGUCAAGGUCAUUUGUUGGGCUCACAGGCUUUGCCAAUCUUUGUCAGAGACCUUGUGUUCUCAUUAGAGACUGACAACGAACAAAGCUCCCUAAGGCUAGUAAUAUCUACCUUCAAGACCUUGCUUUGAGUCUUCUAAUUCCUAUUCAUUAGUGGUUUUCUUGAGACUCGAGCUAAUUUCAUUGAGGAGCAGCUAAUUCUGGUAGUUUCCCCUAAUUAAAAGUUUAUCUUGUUUUGUGUUUGCAGUUUUAUCAUUAUGUGAACCGGGUGCAAAAACUCGCUACUCACGCUGUUCUGUUUUGAUAGUAGGCGUUUAUACAUUUUUUUUUUCUUUAGAAGAUUGGAUAGGACAUCAAAAUGAAGUCCCCUAUUUUCAUCCUUGAAUUGGUCUCCCUUACUUGACCAUAGAUAAUGAGUACCCCACGUGAUCCAAUAGCUAAAUGCAGAGAAUCCAGUUAUUCAUAUCUGAUAAGAAUGCCCAAAUUUCAACCAGCACCAUGUAAGUUUUGUCAGAAUCUUCAUCAGUGUCAGUUUAUCCAGUUAUUGUUUUAAAAGAAUCUCAUAAGAUAAAAUCUAAAUUCAGUUGUUAAAGAUAAAUACUUUUUUUUUUCAUCCCUAUGUGAGAUAUGUAAUUUGACUUGUGGUCAGGUUAAACUAGAAAGUAUGUAAUGCUGAUAAUAUAUAGUAGAUGGAAAGUGUCUGAUUUUACUGUAAAGACAAAUAUUGAGGUUUGCGCUGAAAAACUUGGCACCUGGACAUAAUUUCUAACAAUCCCUUCGGGAUGUUUUGUUUUAAGCAUAUAUAGUCAAGUUUUUUUUAAUUUUGUUCACAGUGGAGGCUCGAGUUCUAUGAAAUUUUGUCACAGUGGAGGUUCUUUAUGGCUAAAAUGCAUGAUUCAGUUUCCAUCUAGUGUGAGUACUGUGCAGUGCCAUUUUUUACCACGAAGGAAGAAAAGAAACCUGAAGUUGUAAAUAGUUUAAUAUUUAUUAAUCCGUCCAUAGCAUGUUUGAAAAGUCAGAAUGAUUGGGCAACAUUUGCUGUUUCUAAGUGUUGCCUUCCUUUGGUCACGUAGGGUUAAAAUAAUGAUGAAUUUCAUUUGAUUUCAUGUGGAAAAGAUUAUAUAGAGUUUUUCAUGUGGUAUGUACAUUGUGAGUUUUGUUGUUUUUAUUUUAAGGAUGAGUUUCAGUUUGUGUAUUUAUUUUAUGGAUGAGUUUCAGUUUGUGUAAAUACAUGUGUGUGUUUUUU